AGAAAAAUAUGUUUCAACUGUUGUUUUUUCAGCUAUGGGCGGGAAAUCAAAUAGAGUGGUUUUGGGUAUUUUGGCUAUUAUUCAGAACAGCAUGUGGAGGGAGACAGAUUUGUUUAUUUUUACUGCAAUGGUUUCAGAAGCAAGAGGGGAAAAACGCUUUCUCUGGGAGCUGAAGAAGGUGUAAUAAUCACAGGAUGGUUUUCUAAAGGGAGUAUCUUUUAGAGUUUUCCUGUAGUACUGUUUUUUUUUUUUUUCUUUUUUUACUUAACAAGGUUUUACUCUUAAUAUUCAGCUCCCUCAGCAGAAGUGAGAAAUGUGUUUUUAUUUUGUGCAGCGUCCUGGGACCUCAGAAAUCUACUCAGAUUAUACUCUUAUCGAAACUGUAGUGAUGGAAGAGGGAAGGAAUGUGGUAUCGAGAUAUGCUUGCAGUGGUAAGAAAGCUUAACAGAGAACCUUGUAAAAUGCAGACAACCAGAUUCCUCAGUGCAAUUAGGCGAAAAUCACAGUGUCAAGUCAGGUAAGUGAAGAAACAUUACCACCUCAAAGAGUAAAAAAGUCAAAAGAAAUUUGAAAAGUAACAGGCUGGCAACUGAAAGCCAUGGAUUGUCUGUGAAGCAUCGGAUAGGUUGUGAACCUGCAUUACCCACUCAAUGGGGAAACAGGGGAGGGUCCUGGUCGUCGAGAAAUAAAGUAGAUAAACUGUACUAUGCAACUAGUAGGUGCGCUCCUGCUUGUGGGACGCACGCCAUUGCAAUCGCGGAUAAAAAUGCUACUUCACUGACUCAGAUCGUCGCCUGAGCCUAUGUUAUUGGCUACAGAGUGUUUCUCACAGCCUGACACUGGAGUUCUAAAAAUCUUUCAUCGAUUUUACAGAAAAAGCGAUUUCACGGGAGAGAAGGAAGGAAAAAAAAAAAAAAGUAGCCCUGCCCGCCUCAAUCCCCGGCUCCGCUGCACAACGCCCCUGCCCCGAGCCGAUCACCUCGGUGAGUGGCCGCAAAAUGGCCGACGUAAACGGCCCGCCGCUGCCGGCUCCCCCCACAGCUCGGCAGCCUCCCUCUCGAGGGCUGCCGGGGCCUGCCGGCUCCCUCGGCUGCCUCGAGUGGCCUCGAUGCCGGGAAAAAAGCCCUGCCCGCCUCGAUCCCCCCGCUCCGCUGCAGAACGGGUCCACUCCAGAGUCGAUCGUCUCGGCGAGUCCCUCCAGUCAUCCUUAGCUAUUACACAUAAAUGCCAAGGUACGAAGGACAUAUCUAACAACUACGUACCUGUUAAUGGCUUGUCUAUUACAAUGCUGGAUAAAGUUGUGGAAGGGCAAUUCUCUAGACCAAAUGAAGAAUUUGGUGAUAAAAAAAUGGGAAGACGACACCAUGCACAUGAAAAAAGAUUAAAAAAAAAAAAGAUACGCGACACUAACAAAACUGACAAAGAGCAUUACGGAAGAAAGAGGGAACAUUCUCAUACUGGAGAGGAGAGUCAAAAAGAUGGUCAUUCCACCAAGGGAAGACUUUAUGAUUUGUAUUUCUCUGCGCUCCACUUUGACAAUGCCAAUCGCAAGCGUAACAAAAAGAAGAAAAAGGAGAAACAUGAGGAAAGUGAAAGGCUUCUUGGAAUACUUAGAUCCUCGUUUCCAGAAGAAAACCCGUGAGAAGAAGGAAGAAUCCCAUCCUCCAGGUGGCUCUUUAUGAGAGCAAUGCAGAAGUGAGGGCAGUAAACAACCUUACAAAGGGAAGCCUUCCGGUGCAGGUGAAAGCAAGAAAUACAGCUCCAUCGCAUCCAGCGAGUAUAUUAAAGGUAAGUGGCUGCAGCAUGUAUAUGGGUUUCCUUUUAGAUUAAUAUAGAGAUUAUUUAAAACAGUCUUUAAAUGCUUGAUGACUGAACAGUCUGCUGGAGAUUAAAAAGAAAAGUUGAUAGACUUUUUUUUUCUUUUUCCAUUUUUGAAUGACCCCUAGGAAUGAAAGCCUGAAAUAAAGAGGUUAAAGGCAAAUAAUUGUAAUUUGAC
rnacentral:lncRNA from 1 species